rnacentral:rRNA from 1 species
AUGGCCGUCGCCGACGCGGUGCUGCCCUCGCCGCCGCCGCCGCCCCCGCCGGCGCGGACCGUCGUCGUGCGCUUCGCCCUUGCCCCGAUGCUGGCUCUCGGGCGCGUCCUCCGCGUCGCGGCCGGAGCGCUCCCCUACCUGGGCUUGGCCGCUGUGUGGUUUACCUCCGCAGCCUCGGCUGCGAAGGUCGUGGCGCGGCGCGCCUGGGGCGAGGACUCCGCCUCCUUCCUCUUCCUCCAGACGCUCACGUACGGGGCUUUCACGGUGUUGGCCUGCGUCUUCCUUGUCUUGCUCGCGCUUGGCGUCCUGCUGCUGUGCCGCAUGUGCGUGGCCUACGUGAUUGCAGCUGUACGUGGAUCCCGCCGCGAAUUCAAAGAGCGCGCCGUGGGAGCAAUCAAGCCGGACUCAGCUGCAGACUCGUUUAGUCUACCCCGCACCGCGGUGCUUGGAUUCAUGGCAGAUGUUCCUUUCAUGCUGCUAGUGGUCGCUGGUCUUCUGUUAGCAGCGAUGUCGCAUGUCCAGGGAUCAGUAUCUCAGGGAGAAAUGGUUGGAUUAGUAAUCGUGGAUGUGGGGAUAUUUGCUAUGAACGCGAUAUCUUGCUCUGUUAUCGUUCCAGCUCUUGCACUUAGUUUCUGGAAGGAGGACCAGGCGGACAGGAAAGCACCAUCGCAGUUUUGUUGA